rnacentral:siRNA from 1 species
CUAGGAAGCUCAUUUCUGCCCGUC